rnacentral:rRNA from 1 species
GUGGGGAAUAUUGGACAAUGGGGGAAACCCUGAUCCAGCAAUGCCGCGUGAGUGAUGAAGGCCUUCGGGUUGUAAAGCUCUUUUAUCAGGGAAGAUAAUGACGGUACCUGAUGAAUAAGCUCCGGCUAACUUCGUGCCAGCAGCCGCGGUAAUACGAAGGGAGCUAGCGUUGUUCGGAAUUACUGGGCGUAAAGGGCGCGUAGGCGGCCUUGUAAGUUAGAUGUGAAAGCCCCGGGCUUAACCUGGGAACUGCAUUUAAGACUGCAAAGCUAGAGGACGAGAGAGGAAAGUGGAAUUAUGAGUGUAGAGGUGAAAUUCGUAGAUAUUCAUAAGAACACCAGUGGCGAAGGCGACUUUCUGGCUCGUAUCUGACGCUAAGGCGCGAAAGCGUGGGGAGCAAACAGGAUUAGAAACCCGUGUAGUCC